AUUGAACGCUGGCGGCAGGCUUAACACAUACAAGUCGAGCGGAGUGAUGGUGCUUGCACUAUCACUUAGCGGCGGACGGGUGAGUAAUGCUUAGGAAUCUGCCUAUUAGUGGGGGACAACAUCUCGAAAGGGAUGCUAAUACCGCAUACGUCCUACGGGAGAAAGCAGGGGAUCACUUGUGACCUUGCGCUAAUAGAUGAGCCUAAGUCGGAUUAGCUAGUUGGUGGGGUAAAGGCCUACCAAGGCGACGAUCUGUAGCGGGUCUGAGAGGAUGAGCGGCCACCCGGGGACGGAGACCCGGCCCAGACUCCUACGGGAGGCAGCAGUGGGGAAUAUUGGACAAUGGGGGGAACCCUGAUCAAGCCAUGCCGCGUGUGGGAAGAAGGCCUUAUGGUUGUAAAGCACUUUAAGCGAGGAGGAGGCUCUUUUGGUUAAUACCCAAGAUGAGUGGACGUUACUCGCAGAAUAAGCACCGGCUAACUCUGUGCCAGCCGCCGCCGUAA
rnacentral:rRNA from 1 species